AUCUAAACUAUAAAACCGAAGCAAAUAUUUUUAUCAAAAUUAAAUAAUAUUUAAUAGAAAAUAAAAUUCCAUACUCAAAUUUGUAGAGAACUUGUCAAAAUCCCUAACCCACAGAAUUUGUCAAAUGUUGGCUUCCUCUGUUGAUGAGUCCGCCGUCUCAAAUUUCUCCCCUCCAACGUCUCAAAUGUCACCUCACCGGCGCUCAAAAUCUCGGUGAACUCUCCAGAACUCUUCUUCGAAUCGUUUGUGCAUCGAACUGUUUGUCUUCAUCAUUGCAUUGACGACGGUCGACGGGAACUCGUCUUCUCUCCGGCGUCUCUCCCAUCAUGUGUUGGCAUUGUUCAUGCUAUCAAUAAGCUUCAUAGUGAUCCACCAGGCUUGAACUUUGCUGUAUCCCUUCACGCACCUGUUCGAGAGUUUGCUGCCAGAUAAUGCCUGCAGCUCGAGCUUUUCCUCUGGAAAAUCUUAUGAAUGCACUUCAUGUAUAUCAAAAGAAUAAGUUGCAAUUGAUUCACAAAUGUUUCUUGAAAAUUAAUUUGCAAUUCUCUCUCUGUGACUCGCCCCCUGUCUUUUUGUGAAAUAUUUCAGAUUUUAACUCAUUUUUUAAUCUUAAACUUUCAGUCAGCAGAAAAUAUUUAUUGAGUACAUCAUGGUGGAUAAGGUGAAUGAUGAAGAGCCACAUGCUCACCAGCUUGGCAAACUGCUAGAGACAUAUCAAGUGGUUGAGACUUCAAAUCAUUGUCACUAUCAAGAUUCAGUAAGCAAUCCAUGGUGGUGUCAGAAAGCCUUCUUGGAAGUAGCACAGAGCGAUUGAGAACAUCAACAAACCAAGUUUCUGAUUUUGCAUCAUCAAGAAGCAAUCCCAUAGAGGCUGCUGUUUCAGGCUUGUUGAAGAAAAGAAACAAACAAAUCCGUGUAGAAGAUAAAGAAGUUGACGCUGAUGUUAUCCGGUCAUAUUCUUUGAGACAAGAGAAUCAAGGUCUUCAUUAGCAAGCUGGUAUUUUAUUGAGAAGCUUCGGCCAUGGAGAAGAGAGAGAGGUGGGUGCAAAGAGAGGAUCGUGAUGAGUGGCGGUGAACCACCACAAGACUGUUAGCCCAAAUGCGGUUUGCUGCGAGUUUAGAAGGAGAAUUUUAGAUAGGUGGUGUGCAUGUUUUUUGAUUCUUAGAGAGGCAGCUGCAACUUGUAUAAGGCUGGAGCAAAAUUGUGGAAUCUUUUGGAGAGGGAGAUUUCUAGAGAGAUAGACUGUGCAUUUACUCAACAGAGAUGUGUGUUGCCGACUAUGCAGUUGAGGGAUUUGUCGUGGGGCCUGGGAUAAUAUGACCGCCAAAGCUGCACAUUAGUAGGAGUUUGGCAUCAGGGACUGGUGGCAGGGGGUCAUCACUUGCCUGCCCUUUGCCAUCCCUAGUCCCACUCUGCUCACAUAAUCGGCCUUUUUGGAAGACUGAUGAUAACUGCUAGAGAAGCUUGGAGGGCAUGUUGCCUGCAAAUUAUAUCCUAAUAACUGCAAGA